GCCCGAGUGACGGAAUUUGUAGACGCAGUGGACUCAAAAUCCACACGCCCUUAAAAGCGGGUCGGUUCGACGCCGACCUCGGGCA
rnacentral:tRNA from 1 species